AGUAGAUGCCGGGAAUCAAACUUAAGACGUUGGCCAGAGGGACGAGGUGCCACGAGGCGAUGAUCAGUCUAUUCAGAUACUUGGGCAGGAUGGAAACAUAGAUCGGUCUACUCAUGUUUGCUUAGAGCAACUUCAGCUCCCAGGAUGCCCCUAAGGACACCUUUUUAGGCUCGGUGUUAGGCUUGGGGGCGUUUUUUGACCGAAAAACGGCCCGGCCAUGCCCUCAGCGUCCCCAGGACGUCAAAAUAGCGCCUGCGUACCCGGGCAGAACCCGACGCGCUUCGGGCUUUUGGGGGCGUCGCAAUCCACGUCUUUUCAUGUGUCCUUUUUUAGGUCCACUUUUUCAUUACCUUCAUAAAUUUUUGAUUGAGAUGGGGGUAUGGUUGGAAAGAUACAUCUUUUUUAUCGUCGGUUGAAGUUUUCGACCCUUCAAGACACCAGUUUUUUAGAUUCGGAGAUGCUCUUACUCUUCAAACGACCAAAUCGCAUGCAUUCAACGACCAGCUCAGCGUUUCGCUCUUUUACUGCACCUGCCCAUGCAUAAAUCUCGGGAAAAAAGAUAGGAAAAUAGUUGUCCACAGCACAUCACGUCCUCGGGGAAAAGUUGACUCGGUGCGAGCCGGUCGAUGGAGACAGGUAAGACCAAGUCCAACAUGUAUAGGCUAUGUGUAUGCACGCCAUUUGUCACGUACGGUAUGUCUAUGUACGCGGCACUAGAAUUGCAUAACUUUUUUUUUUUGAACGAGCUAGAAUUGCAUAACUUGAAUCACUCAGGAUUUGCACUUCACGUGUUUUGUCCUUUUAUUAUUUCCUGGGUGGAUUUCUAGUCCUGUUUUAUCUUGUUCCACGUACAUGCAUGCCGACUUCACGCGUGGUUUGACUCUUUCUUACCGAUCGGACACCUCGGGCUAAGAAUUUACGGAAAAGGUCUUUCAUCUCUGUUAGAUUUUCUGGCCUCAUGGGUUUAAUAGCAGCCCAUAUACGUAGAAUGUUAAGUUGCCACUCUUUCCUUCCUUAGCCUUUAUGGCUUCCACGUUUCUCUUUUCCUUCCUUAAGCCUUUAUUCCUUCCACGUUUCUCUUCUCUGUCAUAAUCCCCAAGACCUCUUCCUGAUAACGUGGGAACCGAAAGACGUAUAUAAGUUGCGUAUAUUGUAUAUGUAUAUAAGUUGCGUAUAUAAGAUGUAUAUUGUGUGUGGGACAAUUUUUAAUAUUGGUAUCACCUUUGCCAUAGCUCAGUUGGCCAUGACAGUCUGUACUAACCUAAAGGUUGCGAGUCCGAAUCCUCCUCACUUUUUUUAAUGAAACUUGGUUGUACGAAUUAGUACCACCUCAUAUAUUUCACGUAAUAUAAGAUCAGACGCGGGACGAAAUCAAAAAUAUUACCUUGCUUUAUUAGUAGGUACUAAUAAAAUGCCCGUGCUACGCUACGAAACCACAUGAAAGUAAGCCAAAAAUAGUUUCUCCUUGUUCAGUUAUUCGAAACAUCCAAUCAAGAUCUUCUAAAGUUACAUAAGAAAUAACGGUUUAUUUGUUUCCUUAUCAUCUCUAUUAUUAAAGAGGGAUGUGCAGUCGUCGUGAUGGUUCGACCUCCUUCCUCCCCCAUACGAGAUCGAUACAGCAAAAAAAUCUCACCUCGCUUCGUUCGAUCUCCCUUCCCUCACGUCUCGCACUUCUUCCACACGGUAAAAAAGAAAAAGAAACAGCCACGAUCCUCUCGCAUGUCCCUCGCUCCCGAUUCACCCACCAAGCCACGAUCUCCCCUCCCCUCUCCCAAACCAUCCGCCGCAAGGGCACCUCUAGCACUUGCGUCUUCCGCCCCUCCCCUUUCUCUCCCUUCAAUCCAUAUGUCCGCCGCGCCCCCACAUGGUCUUCGUCAAGAAACAGCCACGAUCCUCUCGCAUGUCCCUCGCUCCCGAUUCACCGUGACCACCACCAAGCCACGAUCUCCCCUCCCCUCUCCCAAACCAUCCGCCGCAAGGGCACCUCUAGCACUUGCGUCUUCCGCCCCUCCCCUUUCUCUCCCUUCAAUCCAUAUGUCCGCCGCGCCCCCACAUGGUCUUCGUCACCGCCGCUGACCACUGCCUGCACUCAGGCAACCAAAUCUUUUGCUCGCCGUCCCCUCCCCCUCCCGUGCACCCGUCUUCCAUGGUGAAGACGUCUGCAUGCACCUGCCUUCAAGGCUUCUUCCCGACAACAGCUAUGCCGCAGUUCGACUCCUCCUUUGAUCCAAGAUUGGUGUCCCGUGUCUGUGUCCGCACCCGUACACCCCGUCGCUGGAGAAAUGAGAAGCCCCAGGACUUGACCGACCAUGGCGGUCCAGAGGCCCGCACCGCCGCCAUCGGGUUGAGAUUGGAUGGCGCUGGGCAGGAGACUGGGAGACAUACAAGAUCGGUGAGAGAGAUGCGUGGAAAGUCUGAACGUGUGUAGGAUGACUAUGCCACAGAAGACGAUGAACAUGAGGAGAACCUGAAGAAGGAAACAUUUGUGCAGUUCUUCUUAUCAACGUGAGCUCUUGUCCUUUUAAUUCAUAGAAUGUUGAACUGACCACCUGCUAUCUUGCUCCUUUGAUUCAUAGAAUGCUUGGAUUAGGCCCAACUAUUUGACAUGCCAAUACUAGCCCAAUUUUCCAGUGCAAUUUCAUGUCAAUUCCUGGUAAGACAGGGGUGUGCUAAGUGUUCGCCAAUUUUUUUUUGCAAACCCGUGAUUUGGUCCAAUUGGGACGUAUAUGUCCGUGUGAUUUUAACCCACUCACUUUUGCGGCAAAAAGAAUCCCGGAGAGAAUCUAUUUAUUUGGCUGCAAUGUGUGGAAAUUAUACUUCACCACGUAAUGUUGGCGAAUUGAUUGUUGUUUGCUGCAAAAGAAUGUAACCACGUCAAGCAAAUUGUUGUUUCUCGUGUGUGUACACUGACCACAUAUAUGGCUAUUGAAAACCCACAGAUAAUGCAGAAGAAGCUCCAAAUGGGGCACUUAGGUUUGUGGAAUUCCUGGGGUGUCGAGUUGGCCAAGGGGCGGGUGGUGGAGCUCCGUGCGGGCUGAUGCUUGGAUCAUACAUCAAGUAUAUCGCACACCUCGAUCGGGGGAUGAGCUGAUGAUGGUGUCCCGGACUCGUGUCGUCCAUGAUAGAGUUGCAGUCCAUGAUAGAGCUGCAGGGGCUUAAGAUGGCAGAAAAUGGCAUGCACAUAGCACAGGCAGGAUCACGAAAGGCCAAUGCAGGUGAUGCGAGUGGUUAUGACCUGUUGUCAGCCCUCUGGGCACCAAUUUUUCGUUCUCCUUGCUACAUGCAUUUUCUUCUCCUCUUCCUUCAUGUUUCUCUGACAAAACCCAAGGGAGCUUACUAAUAUUCAGUGGAACAACAGGUAAACGGUUGCUUUGCAUUCUUUCCUCUUGAUUUUUUGGAUUAUAAAAAUAUAUACUUUUUUUUUAAGUUAUGCAUCUGACAUUUGCAUUUUUCUCAACUUUUUACUUGUGGACGAGUUCUCUCUUUGCAUUCUUUUCUAAUUGGUAUGCCAAUCACUAUGCCACGGGAAACCUGAAGGUGUUUACUCAGCUAAGUCAUUUGCUCGGUGCUAAUCUUGCAAUUCGGUAUGAAUACAUACUUAUGUACUAAUAUUUGAUUGAAAAUUAAUGAUCGGCAAAGCACCAUGACCACCAUAUAAACAUUCUGCAAGUUAACCUCUGUGAGCAGAUUUGUUACAUGUUUACCUUUCUUCAUUUAAGGAUAGGCUUGCAGAGUGACAAAGAUAAGAGAGGAUGGGAAGUAUGGCUGCGGAAUGCUCUCUAUUUUUGAAGUUGUUGAAUCUGAUAGUGAAAAUGAAGAUAUUGUGGAAGAAAUGAAGAUGCAGGAAAAUAAAAAGCUACAAAUCUGAAAAGUGCGAGGGGCUAACUUGGAGUGACGCAGCUAUAAUAUUUUUGUGGUUGCUGUCCAAUCAAACAUUUUGGAUGCUCCCGUUGUGCAUGACGAGUCACAUGACAGUGCCCUACGUUUCUAUGAAUCGAUGGUUUCGUUUGUGCUUUCAGUUUCUAUCUUGCCAAGUACGAGUACGUCUUCUGUUUUUUUAUUGAAUAUAUCUGUUUGCUUAUGUUAAGACGUAUGAAAAAAUCAUUUGAAUGAUAUUCCAUGAGAUACCAUUA